CAUCCUCCUCUCCGUCCUCCGGUGCUCUUCUAGGGACUGUUCUUCCCAAUCAAGUCUGGCUUUGUCGCCAGCCAACCGCUCCCGUUCCAAACUUAAAGUAGUCAUUUUCAGCUCCUUGUAUUCUUUAUGGGACUCGUGUUUCUUGUUGAGCCCUCUGUCCUCCAUGGCCAUGAGAGCUGAUCGGAGGUCCGUUAGGUCUGCAUGACUGCCCGCGAGAUGUAGAUGUUAUGGCCGCCAGAUCUAUACUUUGAUAAUGAUGACAAGCUCACGAGGAAUCAGUUAGAGAUGGCUGCAACGGCCUUGGCCCUUUCAGACAACCCUAGUCUUCACUAUCCCCCUCCUUUGGGACGCCCUCGUCGUCACCCUCAAAGUCUCCUUCAUCUUCUCCAAAAGCAACAUCGUCGAGUCUCUAUGAGCUUAUUCCUCUCCUACGCAAUGGCAUAGACUAGGAUGGCGAACACAUAGGGGGACUUCUCCUGGAGGAAUUGAUGAGAUAAGCCGGUUUUGACAUCUUUGCUUUUGAUGAUGGAUUGUGGUGUAUGGAAGACAUUUUGAGAUGGGAAUUUGGAAUUUAUGGAAGAUAUUUGAAGGAGAGAAGAAUUUAACACUCUCUAUGAUGGCUAUGUGACAUUUAU
rnacentral:sRNA from 1 species